CCAAAUGCAUUAACGUACAUGUAAAUUUUGUAAAUUUGAAAUAGGAAUAAUGGUGGGUAAGGGACGGUGUAAAAAGUCCACACAUUUAUACAAAUCCACAUUUUGAUGACAGCAAUGACAGUCACACUUCGUUUUGUGACGACACACAAUACGACACUGCCGUUGUUUUUACAGCAGUGUAAGUAUAGCUCAUAAUAAGCUGUCUGCACAUACAAGUUGUUUUUUGGAGGAGGGCAUUCUGGGAUUUCGCCGAACAUCAUUAAAUGUGACCACAUCUUUAGGGAUUUGUUCAAAUCUCUAACCCUGAGCAGUAGUAAUAGUACUGCUUGCUAUAGCAAAUAAUCUCCGCACAUUCUCUGUAAUUUACUAAUUAACCUCUACAGCAGAUUUUCAUUUUGACGCUUGAACGUUAAGCCGGCUUGGUCUUUUUUUUUUUUUUCACUUGAAUGAGUGUUUGCGUUUGUCUUGGCUUCUGACAGCUUUGAUAGUCAGUUGGUUUGAGUGAGAGCGUGUGAUUGUUUUUGUGGUUUCUCUGAGAGGAAGUGUCGAGUUAGACGUCCUGAGGGGCUUAUUUUCGCACAGUGGUCUUGAGUGUGUGAAAGUGCCUCCUUGGUUGUCCACAAGGAUGAAAUACACAAUUACUUACCUAUAUGAAGGUUUUGUGCUAAAUGUCUAUAUUGUUUUGGUUCUAAUCGUGCUUUCAGUGCUCCUAUUUAGCAUUUUUCUACUUAAAAAUUAUAUCAUAAGAAUCACAAUUCGAGUGAAAACUUUCUAGAUUUUUGAUCCCAGAUUUCCAGUGUGUUUCCACUGUAGAUGCACACACAAAUGCAGUGUUUCACAGUAGUGUAUAGAAAAGAGAGAGGAGAGGAAGUGGAGUGGGAAUGGAAGGAGGUGAAAUUGUAGCCCUCAGGUUCAGGAAGUGAGGCUGUCUGCAAAGACGCAGCGCUCCAUCUGCCUGACACACACACACACACACACACACACACACGAGAGAGAGAGAGAGAGAGAGAGAGAGAGAGAGAGAGAGAGAGAAGAGAGAGAGAGAGAGAGAAAGUCAGCAACCUUCUGCUUAUCAAUGAUUCAAAGGGCAGGUAUCAGUUUUCUCUGGUUUGGACGAAUAAAAAAAAUACAAUAAAGCUUGUCAAGUUCAUAACACACAAAAUGAGUCUGGAGCAGGUCAACGAUGCCAUCAACCUCAUGAAGACUGGAGACUGCAUUCGAUGCAUCCUGAAUAUAUCCAAAUGAGAAGCAAAUCGUCUUCACCCAACCAGUUUCUAGGCCAGUUAUAUUCAGCUUAUGCGCUUCAACUUCUUUGCAGUAUUUGAGUAACAGCUGGGUGCAUUCAAGGAUUCUCUUUAAUUAGCAUAUUCCAGCCCUGGCAAAAUGCUUCUGAGAAGUUUUUGCAAGAAAAAUGCUAUCUGUGCCAAAUAAAAAGCGAGACAAGCAAGUAAAUCAUUUCAAGUGGUUUUGUAUAACCAAUUUAUGAUGCUGUCAACAUAGUUUAUUUCUCUCCUCUGAGCCAGAUUCUCCAGCAUUU
rnacentral:lncRNA from 1 species